AUUUGGACACCUUGGAGGAAAUAUAAGACAAAAGGAGUAGAAGACAAGGAUGAUACUGAAAGAAAGAGGUAUCACUUUAAUUCUGGUCCAUUGAUGCAACAAGCACGUAACAUUUUGAAACAGAUGGAUGGUAAAGUGAUGAAGAAUGAAUUUGA
rnacentral:lncRNA from 13 species